rnacentral:rRNA from 1 species
GAUGAACGCUGGCGGCGUGCCUAACACAUGCAAGUCGAGCGAUUUACUUCGGUAAAGAGCGGCGGACGGGUGAGUAACGCGUGGGUAACCUGCCUCAUACACAUGGAUAACAUACCGAAAGGUAUGCUAAUACAGGAUAAUAUAAGAGAUUCACAUGGAUUUUUUAUCAAAGCUCCGGCGGUAUGAGAUGGACCCGCGUCUGAUUAGCUAGUUGGUAAGGUAAUGGCUUACCAAGGCGACGAUCAGUAGCCGACCUGAGAGGGUGAUCGGCCACAUUGGAACUGAGACACGGUCCAAACUCCUACGGGAGGCAGCAGUGGGGAAUAUUGCACAAUGGGCGAAAGCCUGAUGCAGCAACGCCGCGUGAGUGAUGAAGGCCUUCGGGUCGUAAAACUCUGUCCUCAAGGAAGAUAAUGACGGUACUUGAGGAGGAAGCCCCGGCUAACUACGUGCCAGCCGCCGCUGUAAUAC